rnacentral:rRNA from 1 species
UACGUAGGGUGCAAGCGUUUGUCCGGAAUUACUGGGCGUAAAGAGCUCGUAGGUGGUUUGUCGCGUUGUUCGUGAAAACUCACAGCUUAACUGUGGGCGUGCGGGCGAUACGGGCAGACUGGAGUACUGCAGGGGAGACUGGAAUUCCUGGUGUAGCGGUGGAAUGCGCAGAUAUCAGGAGGAACACCGGUGGCGAAGGCGGGUCUCUGGGCAGUAACUGACGCUGGAGGAGCGAAAGCGUGGGGAGCGAACAGG